AUGGAGAAAUUCACUUGUGUUAGUCAACUAUGUGACUGGUGGAAUUUAGUCGUGGCACCAAUUGCCCACACUUGUGUUACAACUGUAUUUGGGAUAUUUGUCAAGAAGAAAUCAUUAGCUCCACCGGUGGUUGCCUCUAUCUCAGUUAAAGAGAGUAUCUCAGAGAAGAAUGGUGAAGAUGAGAUUCCAACACCUUCACAUUCAGCUGAGCAAGAUAGCGAGAGUCCAGAGGAAGAGAUACUUCAGAUCCAAGAAGAAAUUCUCGAAGCCAAGGCACAAGAUGAUCCAGAGCUCAAACAAUAA
rnacentral:rRNA from 1 species